GAUGAACGCUAGCUACAGGCUUAACACAUGCAAGUCGAGGGGAAACGGCAUUAAGUGCUUGCACUUUUUGGACGUCGACCGGCGCACGGGUGAGUAACGCGUAUCCAACCUGCCCCUUACCAGGGAAUAACCCGUUGAAAGACGGACUAAUGCCCUAUGCAGUCCUUUGACGGCAUCAGAUUAGGACUAAAGAUUCAUCGGUAUGGGAUGGGGAUGCGUCUGAUUAGCUUGUUGGCGGGGUAACGGCCCACCAAGGCAUCGAUCAGUAGGGGUUCUGAGAGGAAGGUCCCCCACAUAGGAACUGAGACACGGCCCUACCUCCUACGGGAGGAAGCAGUGAGGAAGAUUGGUCAAUGGGCGGUAGCCUGAACCAGCCAAGUAGCGUGCAGGAUGACGGCCCUAUGGGUUGUAAACUGCUUUUAUGCGGGGAUAAAGUCACCCACGUGUGGGUGUUUGCAGGUACCGCAUGAAUAAGGACCGGCUAAUUCCGUG
rnacentral:rRNA from 1 species